UACGGGAGGGGCAAGCGUUGUUCGGAAUUACUGGGCGUAAAGGGCUCGUAGGUGGCCAACUAAGUCAGGCGUGAAAUCCCUCGGCUUAACUGGGGAACUGCGUCUGAUACUGGCGAGCUUGAGUGCAGGAGAGGAACGCGGAAUUCCAGGUGUAGCGGUGAAAUGCGUAGAUAUCUGGAGGAACACCGGUGGCGAAGGCGGCGUUCUGGACUGCAACUGACACUGAGAAACGAAAGCCAGGGUAGCAAACGGG
rnacentral:rRNA from 1 species